GCCUCGGUGGUAGAAUGGUUAGCACUCCUGAUUAGAAAUGACAAGAUCAAGGUUCAAAUCCCGACUUAGGCU